CUGUUGAUGGGAAUGUAAAUUGGUGCAGCCGCUAUGGAGAACGGGCAAACCACACGCCGGCCCGCAGCCCAGGGCGCCGGGUACACCGCACAGCCCCAAGGCCCCACCAAGCGCCACUUCCUCCCCGAAACCUCCGGUCUCUGCAGCAGCCCCCACACCUGGUGCUCGAGCAUCUGAGGGCAACUCACAGGCUCUAACUGCAACCUGUCAGCCUAGGCCCUGGCAGCCGGUCACAGUGGAAUGAAGUAUACCUGUGACUCUGUCACUGACAGAAAUCAUGACUCUCUUCAUAGCCCAUUACAGGUGGAGUGAAUGUCUACAUUAUGCUGAACUUCCAGAACCAGCUAGAGAUACAACAGCGACAGAGUCCUUCCUUCUGGUGAAGUGGACAGAUGAGCAGGCAGGCGACCUCUAUGGAGAGACAGACGCAGCUGAGAGAAUUCAGGCCCUUUUGUCUUAUUUUCCUACAUUGUCAAGGAUCCACAUUACAAGGUUGAAGAGAAGCGGUGAUGGCAGGUACCCCUUCUUUCUAGUGUUUUACUAUUACAUGUCAUGAUUUGUGCAAACUUCUGGUAGACCCUGGUUAGGGUUAGGAAUGUGGCCUCUGUGCCUGCGUUGCUAAGAGUUUAUCAACAAUAUCCAGCUUGUCAAAUGUUUUUGGAGUGCCUACUGAAAUAACUAUGCCUCAAUUCCGUGAAUUACACUGAUAGGUUCCCUAAUAACCAAUUCCUGUAUUUGUUAGAUAAACCUACUUGUCAUGAAGUAUUUGUGUUUAAUGUAGAGACUGAGAUAUAGUAGAUCACCCCAAAUGAACAGGAGGCCAAUGGCUAAUGAAACAGAAGAGAUAGUGACAGAUACGGAUCGUAUCUUUGUUCCAAGAAGGGCACAUCAGUGGGGGAAAAAUCCCAAAGGAGCAAGAUUCUUCAAAGAACCUUUGACCCUGUUGUAAUAAGAUGGAGAAAAUUGUAUUCAACCAAGUUAAUAUCGAGGAGAGUUCUAGGUGCAUUUGGAAGAAACAUUUUGAUAAACAGUUUGCAAUUGUUGAAAUGUCUACCCAAGAAGAGCCUCAUGUUGGGCUAAGAACCUGAGCUGCUGGGAUGGGCAGGGCUGGGACAGAGCUGACUUGUCUCUGGCAUGAAAAGGAGAGGAAGAAAAGGUAGAAGGGGAAAGCCAAAGAGACUGGGCAGUGCUGGGGAGAAAGGAGAAAAAGAAAAGGAAGCAAACCCUGGCAUUGGGGCAGCCAAGGAGGGCCACUGGGGAGAAGGGAUUGUCUACUGGGCUAUAGGUUGUUUGGUGUAGUUACCUGCGACUGAUGCUUUUGCACAUCUGGGGCCCAGUGGGGGAGCAGGGAAAGGGCCAACUUCUGUCUGCAGCUGGAGGAUGCCAUGCAGGUGGAGCAUAGGAGCUGAGGGCAUCUGACUUCUAGAUCAACCCAAGGUUUGGGAGUUGACAGAACCUUGCACCCGAGCUGGCUUGGGGGUUACAAGGGGAAAGGGCUAAGUACGACUUGGGGGAUGAAACUUCUGGUCUGGAGGAUCUUAAUCACAUGUAUGUGGAUCCUUCAAAGAAUCUAUGACUAAAACUCAGAGGGUUCAUGAACUUAAAUAGGAAAAAUUUACAUCUUUAUUUUCCCUAACCUCUCACUGAAAUUGAGCAUUGCCUUCUAUUAUGAACACAGGCAACAAUCCCUAAGGUUUAGCCGUGCCGAGAGAAAUAACAGAUUUUCACACCACACUUUAGUUGUUGCCAAUAUCUCAAAAUAUUUUUUAUACUCGUUGCUGCUUUGAAAUCACGUGGUCAUAGACCCACCAUCUGGGCAUCAGAAAGAGUAUGAUGGGGCUUCCCUGGUGGCGCAGUGGUUGAGAGUCUGCCUGCCGAUGCAGGGGAUGCGGGUUCGUGCCCCGGUCCGGGAAGAUCCCACAUG